GACGAACGCUGGCGGCGUGUUUAACACAUGCAAGUCGAACGGAAAGGCCCUGCUUUUGUGGGGUGCUCGAGUGGCGAACGGGUGAGUAACACGUGAGUAACCUGCCCUUGACUUUGGGAUAACUUCAGGAAACUGGGGCUAAUACCGGAUAGGAGCUCCUGCUGCAUGGUGGGGGUUGGAAAGUUUCGGCGGUUGGGGAUGGACUCGCGGCUUAUCAGCUUGUUGGUGGGGUAGUGGCUUACCAAGGCUUUGACGGGUAGCCGGCCUGAGAGGGUGACCGGCCACAUUGGGACUGAGAUACGGCCCAGACUCCUACGGGAGGCAGCAGUGGGGAAUAUUGCACAAUGGGCGGAAGCCUGAUGCAGCAACGCCGCGUGCGGGAUGACGGCCGUCGGGUUGUAAACCGCUUUCGCCUGUGACGAAGCGUGAGUGACGGUAAUGGGUAAAGAAGCACCGGCUAACUACGUG
rnacentral:rRNA from 1 species